rnacentral:rRNA from 1 species
CUUAGUGACCGAUAGCGCAUAGUACUGUGAAGGAAAGGUGAAAAGGACCCCGGGAGGGGAGUGAAAGAGAACCUGAAACCAUAUGUUUACAAGCUGUGGAACAUCUUUAUAUGAUGAACCGCGUACUUUUUGUAGAACGGUCCGGCGAGUUACGCUGGCUGGCGAGGUUAAGGGCUGAAGGCCUGGAGCCGAAGGGAAACCGAGUCUGAACAGGGCGAAAUAGUCAGUCGGAGUAGACCCGAAACCGGGUGAUCUAUCCAUGUCCAGGUUGAAGUUGCCGUAAAAGGCAAUGGAGGACCGAACCCACAUCCGUUGAAAAGGGUGGGGAUGAGGUGUGGAUAGGGGAGAAAUUCCAAUCGAACCCGGAGAUAGCUGGUUCUCCUCGAAAUAGCUUUAGGGCUAGCCUCAUACGAGUCUUGCGGAGGUAGAGCACUGAAUUUCCUAGGGGGCGUCAAAGCUUACCGAAGAAUAUCAAACUCCGAAUGCCGCGUAGAUGAUGUAUGGGAGUCAGACUAUACGAGAUAAGUUGGAUAGUCGAAAGGGAAAGAGCCCAGACCACCGGCUAAGGUCCCAAAAUGUGUGUUAAGUGGAAAAGGAUGUGGGAUUUCGAAGACAACUAGGAUGUUGGCUUAGAAGCAGCCAUCCAUUAAAAGAGUGCGUAAUAGCUCACUAGUCGAGAGGUCCUGCGCCGAAAAUGUCCGGGGCUGAAACACACUACCGAAGCUUAGGAAUUGAUGAAUGUCAAUUGGUAGAGGAGCAUUCUUAAAGGGACGAAGCAGUACCGUAAGGAGCUGUGGACUUUUAAGAAGAGAGAAUGCCGGAAUGAGUAGCGAGAGGAAGGUGAGAAUCCUUCCGGCCGAAUAUCUAAGGUUUCCAGAGUAAAGCUGAUCUGCUCUGGGUAAGUCGGGGCCUAAGGCGAGGUCGAAAGACGUAGUCGAUGGAUAACAGGUUGAAAUUCCUGUACUAUGAUAUGACAGAACUGUGGGGACACGUGUGGAAAGCGGAAGCCGGGAAUGGAAAGACCGGUGCAAGCAAGGUAGGAGACUGGUUGGCAAAUCCGCCAGUCAAUCUGAAGAUGUGAUGCGUACUGAAAUAUAAGUAAGGAAGUCCGUGAGCCAUGCGUCAAGAAAAGCCGCUAUUGUUCAUAUCGUACCCGUACCGUAAACCGACACAGGUGGAUGAGGAGAGAAUCCUAAGGCCGACGGGAGAAGCAUUGUUAAGGAACUCGGCAAAAUGACUCCGUAACUUCGGGAGAAGGAGUGCCAGUGAGAGCUGGCCGCAGAGAAUUGGCCCAAGCAACUGUUUAGCAAAAACACAGGUCUAUGCAAAACCGAAAGGUGAGGUAUAUGGGCUGACGCCUGCCCGGUGCUGGAAGGUUAAGGGGAGAGGUUAGCCGUAAGGCGAAGCUUUGAACUUAAGCCCCAGUAAACGGCGGCCGUAACUAUAACGGUCCUAAGGUAGCGAAAUUCCUUGUCGGGUAAGUUCCGACCCGCACGAAAGGCGUAAUGAUUUGGGCACUGUCUCAACAAUGCACCCGGUGAAAUUGAAAUACCAGUGAAGAUGCUGGUUACCUGCGCCAGGACGGAAAGACCCCAUGGAGCUUUACUCCAGCUUGAUACUGGGAUUCGAUAUUGCAUGUACAGGAUAGGUGGGAGACUAGGAAGCGGUGACGCCAGUUGCCGCAGAGUCGCUGUUGGGAUACCACCCUUGCAGUAUUGGAUUUCUAACCAGCAGCCGUGAACCGGCUGGGGGACAAUGUCAGGUGGGGAGUUUGACUGGGGCGGUCGCCUCCGAAAGGGUAUCGGAGGCGCUCAAAGGUUCCCUCAGAAUGGUUGGAAACCAUUCGAAGAGUGCAAAGGCAGAAGGGAGCUUGACUGCGACACCGACGGGUGGAGCAGGUACGAAAGUAGGACUUAGUGAUCCGGUGGUAUAAAGUGGGAUUGCCAUCGCUCAACGGAUAAAAGCUACCCUGGGGAUAACAGGCUUAUCACUCCCAAGAGUUCACAUCGACGGAGUGGUUUGGCACCUCGAUGUCGGCUCAUCGCAUCCUGGGGCUGAAGUAGGUCCCAAGGGUUGGGCUGUUCGCCCAUUAAAGCGGUACGCGAGCUGGGUUCAGAACGUCGUGAGACAGUUCGGUCCCUAU